rnacentral:rRNA from 1 species
GGGCCCGCACAAGCGGUGGAGCAUGUGGUUCAAUUCGACGCAACGCGAAGAACCUUACCUGGGCUCGAACGGCCGGUCAACGGCGGUGGAAACAUCGUUACCCCGCAAGGGGGUCCGGUCGAGGUGCUGCAUGGCUGUCGUCAGCUCGUGUCGUGAGAUGUUGGGUUAAGUCCCGCAACGAGCGCAACCCUUGUCCUGUGUUGCCACUCCCGAAAGGGAAGCACUCGCAGGAGACCGCCAGCGAUAAGCUGGAGGAAGGUGGGGAUGACGUCAAGUCCUCAUGGCCUUUAUGUCCAGGGCUACACACGUGCUACAAUGGCCGGUACAAAGCGCUGCAAACCCGCGAGGGGGAGCCAAUCGCAAAAAACCGGUCUCAGUUCGGAUUGCAGGCUGCAACCCGCCUGCAUGAAGCUGGAAUCGCUAGUAAUGGCAGAUCAGCAUGCUGCCGUGAAUACGUUCCCGGGCCUU